AGUUUGAUCCUGGCUCAGGAUGAACGCUGGCGGCGUGCCUAACACAUGCAAGUCGAACGGGGCGCGCCGAUGGAAACUUUUCGGAGCGGAAAUUGGCGCUGCCUAGUGGCGGACGGGUGAGUAACGCGUGAGCAACCUGCCCUGCACUGGGGGACAACAGCUGGAAACGGCUGCUAAUACCGCAUAGGCGCACAGCCCCGCAUGGGGCGGUGUGGAAAGUAAUAUGGUGCAGGAUGGGCUCGCGUCUGAUUAGCUUGUUGGCGGGGUAACGGCCCACCAAGGCGACGAUCAGUAGCCGGCCUGAGAGGGUGGACGGCCACAUUGGGACUGAGACACGGCCCAGACUCCUACGGGAGGCAGCAGUGGGGGAUAUUGCACAAUGGGGGGAACCCUGAUGCAGCGACGCCGCGUGGGCGAUGGAGUACUUCGGUAUGUAAAGCCCUAUCAGCAGGGAAGAAAAUGACGGUACCUGACUAAGAAGCCCCGGCUAAAUACGUG
rnacentral:rRNA from 1 species